rnacentral:tRNA from 1 species
CGGAGUGUAGCUCAGCAUGGUAGAGCGCUACGUUCGGGACGUAGAGGUCGCAAGUUCGAAUCUUGUCACUCCGA